CAUAGUGCCUACUUCACGGAGUUGUCGUGAAGAUUAAAUGUUAAUCUAUGUAAAGAGCUAGAAGCGUGCCUGGCACAUAAUAAGCCCCAGAUCAACAGCUAGCGAACUAUAAUUUACAUUUUUUUUUUUUAUAAUUUACAUUUUUAAGUGAGUAGUUAAUACCCAACAGUUCUCAAUUACCCAUGCCUGCUAGGAUAUACAGGAGUUUCCUUAAUCCUCAAAUCAUUUAUAUGUGACUUGGGAGUUAAUGACGUAAUUUUUGUGUUGGAUUUACUUUGUUAAUAGUAGUUGCUGUUGCUCAUAGUUGAAUUAUGACAAACUUACACACAUCUCGUCCUUUAUCCUCUUCUCUUUGGUCAAAUAAAAAAUGCCUGUACUUUCAAAAUAAGUGGACACAAUAGAAUAGAAAUCAUCUAUUCAUUACAAACAAAGUUUAAUUCCACCUCUGGAGACUGGGGAAAGAGAGUUCUCAGGCUGUGCUAGGAGGAGAGUUAUUGGAGAGCAAUUUAACGAUAAUUACCAAAAUAUAAAAUGCGAAUACCCUUUGACCCAGCAAUUCUGCUUAUAGGAAUUUCUCCCCUGGAAUUAAUUUGAUUGAGUAUGCAAAUGAAUAUGUACAAGGACUCACCUUUCAGAGUAGCAUUGUCCAUGAGAGCAGUCAGCAGAAUACAACUGAAAUUUCCAUGAGCACCGGCAGAGCCGGUCAAAUUAUGAUACAGCCAUGCAGCGGAUGACCACACAAAUCUUUUUAUUUUUUUAAGGCACAGUUGACGCAUGUGUGUUGACCUGGAGAGUGGUUGAAGGUCAAUUAUUAAGUAAACAAAAAGCCAGUUGCAGAGCCCUCUGUCCAGUAUAAUCCCGUUUGAUGUUUAGAAGAGAAGGUAUGAGCAUGGAUAUUGUCUCGAAGGCUAUGGAAUAACUGGAAUGCUGGCCAUCUCUGCUUCUCUGGAGCCUGCACCUUCGCUCAGAUCGUUAUUCGACUGUGAAGAGGCUGCGGACCGCACACGCGGAAACGUGGCGUGGCCUUGAUCCCAGGCUCUUUGUUCCCCAUCUUCCUUGGCCAACUUCGCUGAUGACCCGUGGCAGGGAUACGGCUGUGCUCGCUUUGGUUCACCCUACUCUGAUUGCCUCCUAUCCGUGGGCUUAGUCGCACUCUUACUGAAAAUUUUCAUUUGGUCCAUUUUAGGAUGGCUCCCAACGAACCUCUAACAGCUGUGUCCAGGAUGUAUUGUGAAAACAACCCAAAAUGGUACCCAGUUUGUUCUGUUUAGACAACUGGGAGGAGAUGGGAAGCAAAAUGUUUGAAAGUCAUUUCAUUUAAAU
rnacentral:lncRNA from 1 species